AUGAACGCUAGCUACAGGCUUAACACAUGCAAGUCGAGGGGCAGCAUGGUCUUAGCUUGCUAAGACUGAUGGCGACCGGCGCACGGGUGAGUAACACGUAUCCAACCUGCCGUCUACUCUUGGACAGCCUUCUGAAAGGAAGAUUAAUACAAGAUGGCAUCAUGAGUCCGCAUGUUCACAUGAUUAAAGGUAUUCCGGUAGACGAUGGGGAUGCGUUCCAUUAGAUAGUAGGCGGGGUAACGGCCCACCUAGUCUUCGAUGGAUAGGGGUUCUGAGAGGAAGGUCCCCCACAUUGGAACUGAGACACGGUCCAAACUCCUACGGGAGGCAGCAGUGAGGAAUAUUGGUCAAUGGGCGAGAGCCUGAACCAGCCAAGUAGCGUGAAGGAUGACUGCCCUAUGGGUUGUAAACUUCUUUUAUAAAGGAAUAAAGUCGGGUAUGUAUACCCGUUUGCAUGUACUUUAUGAAUAAGGAUCGGCUAACUCCGUGCCAGCAGCCGCGGUAAUACGGAGGAUCCGAGCGUUAUCCGGAUUUAUUGGGUUUAAAGGGAGCGUAGAUGGAUGUUUAAGUCAGUUGUGAAAGUUUGCGGCUCAACCGUAAAAUUGCAGUUGAUACUGGAUAUCUUGAGUGCAGUUGAGGCAGGCGGAAUUCGUGGUGUAGCGGUGAAAUGCUUAGAUAUCACGAAGAACUCCGAUUGCGAAGGCAGCCUGCUAAGCUGCAACUGACAUUGAGGCUCGAAAGUGUGGGUAUCAAACAGGAUUAGAUACCCUGGUAGUCCACACGGUAAACGAUGAAUACUCGCUGUUUGCGAUAUACUGCAAGCGGCCAAGCGAAAGCGUUAAGUAUUCCACCUGGGGAGUACGCCGGCAACGGUGAAACUCAAAGGAAUUGACGGGGGCCCGCACAAGCGGAGGAACAUGUGGUUUAAUUCGAUGAUACGCGAGGAACCUUACCCGGGCUUGAAAGUUACUGACGAUUCUGGAAACAGGAUUUCCCUUCGGGGCAGGAAACUAGGUGCUGCAUGGUUGUCGUCAGCUCGUGCCGUGAGGUGUCGGCUUAAGUGCCAUAACGAGCGCAACCCUUGUUGUCAGUUACUAACAGGUUUUGCUGAGGACUCUGACAAGACUGCCAUCGUAAGAUGUGAGGAAGGUGGGGAUGACGUCAAAUCAGCACGGCCCUUACGUCCGGGGCUACACACGUGUUACAAUGGGGGGUACAGAGGGCCGCUACCACGCGAGUGGAUGCCAAUCCCCAAAACCUCUCUCAGUUCGGACUGGAGUCUGCAACCCGACUCCACGAAGCUGGAUUCGCUAGUAAUCGCGCAUCAGCCACGGCGCGGUGAAUACGUUCCCGGGCCUUGUACACACCGCCCGUCAAGCCAUGGGAGCCGGGGGUACCUGAAGUGCGUAACCGCGAGGAGCGCCCUAGGGUAAAACUGGUGACUGGGGCU
rnacentral:rRNA from 1 species